rnacentral:rRNA from 1 species
GAUAAACGCUAGCGGCAGGCUUAACACAUGCAAGUCGAGGGGCAGCAUAGAUUGUAGCAAUACAAUUGGUGGCGACCGGCGCACGGGUGCGUAACGCGUAUGCAACCUACCCGUCACAGGGGGAUAAUCCGGAGAAAUCUGGUCUAAUACCCCAUAACAUAUGGAUCGGCAUCGGUUCAUGUUGAAAUUUUCGGAGGUGACGGAUGGGCAUGCGUAGCAUUAGCUUGUUGGUGAGGUAACGGCUCACCAAGGCGACGAUGCUUAGGGGGACUGAGAGGUUGUCCCCCCACACUGGGACUGAGACACGGACCAGACUCCUACGGGAGGCAGCAGUGAGGAAUAUUGGUCAAUGGGCGCAAGCCUGAACCAGCCAUGCCGCGUGCAGGAUGACGGCUCUAUGAGUUGUAAACUGCUUUUGUACGAGGGUAAAGUGGGUUACGUGUAACCUUUUGAAAGUAUCGUACGAAUAAGGAUCGGCUAACUCCGUGCCAGCAGCCGCCGUAA